rnacentral:rRNA from 1 species
CACGUAGGGGGCGAGCGUUGUCCGGAUUUAUUGGGCGUAAAGAGCUCGUAGGCGGCUCAGUAAGUCGGGUGUGAAACCUCCAGGCUCAACCUGGAGACGCCACCCGAUACUGCUGUGGCUAGAGUCCGGUAGGGGAGCGUGGAAUUCCUGGUGUAGCGGUGAAAUGCGCAGAUAUCAGGAGGAACACCGGUGGUGUAGACGGCUUUCUGGACCGUAACUGACGUUGAGACACGAAAGCGUGGGUAGCAA